CAGAAAAUAGUUUAUAUAAAAUAUUAAUUUUGGAGAUUAAUGAUAAGAGGUUCUUUUUUCUGA
rnacentral:tRNA from 1 species